rnacentral:rRNA from 1 species
CCUACGGGUGGCAGCAGUGAGGAAUAUUGGUCAAUGGGCGCGAGCCUGAACCAGCCCAGUAUCGUGAAGGAUGACUGCCCUACGGGUUGUAAACUUCUUUUAUAAAGGAAUAAAGUGAGGCACGUGUGCCUGUUUGUAUGUACUUUAUGAAUAAGGAUAGGCUAACUCCGUGCCAGCAGCCGCGGUAAUACGGAGGAUCCGAUCGUUAUCCGGAUUUCUUUGGUUGAAAGGGUUCGUAGAUGGGUGGUUAAGUCAGAUGUGACAGUUUGCGGCUCAACCGUAAAAUUGCAAUUGAUACUGGCAGUCUUGAGUACAGUUGAGGUAGGCGGAAUUCGUGGUGUAGCGGUGAAAUGCUUAGAGAUCACGAAGAACUCCGAUUGCGAAGGCAGCUUACUAAACUGCCACUGACAUUGAUGCUCGAAAGCGUGGGGAGCAAACAGGAUUAGAUACCCGGGUAGUC